UCCUCGUUUAAGCGAGGCAGUCUGUCCAGAGUGCUCUUUACUCUCGUAAAGGUGGCAACAGGACACAAGGGUUGCGCUCGUUGCGGGACUUAACCCAACAUCUCACGACACGAGCUGACGACAGCCAUGCAGCACCUGUGUAGGCUGGUAUUGCUACCUCGUUAGACUUUCAUCCUCCUACUACCUACAUGUCAAGGCCAGGUAAGGUUCUUCGCGUUGCAUCGAAUUAAGCCACAUACUCCACCGCUUGUGCAGGCCCCCGUCAAUUCCUUUGAGUUUUAGCCUUGCGGCCGUACUCCCCAGGCGGGGCGCUUAAUGCGUUAGCUGCGGCACGGAACUCGUGGAAUGAGUCCCACACCUAGUGCUCACCGUUUACGGCUAGGACUA
rnacentral:misc_RNA from 1 species